GACGAACGCUGGCGGCGUGCCUAAUACAUGCAAGUCGAACGAACCGCGACUAAGUGCUUGCGCUAAGUCAAGGUGAGUGGCGAACGGGUGAGUAACACGUGGGUAACCUACCUCAUAGAGGGGGAUAACAGUCGGAAACGACUGCUAAUACCGCAUAGGACAUAGGAUCACAUGAUCCAGUGAGGAAAGGUGGCGCAAGCUAUCGCUAAGAGAUGGACCCGCGGUGCAUUAGCUAGUUGGAAGGGUAAAGGCCUACCAAGGCGAUGAUGCAUAGCCGACCUGAGAGGGUGAUCGGCCACAUUGGGACUGAGACACGGCCCAGACUCCUACGGGAGGCAGCAGUAGGGAAUCUUCCGCAAUGGGCGCAAGUCUGACGGAGCAACGCCGCGUGAGUGAAGAAGGUCUUCGGAUCGUAAAGCUCUGUUGUUAGGGAAGAACAGCGCAUAGAGUAACUGCUAUGCGUGUGACGGUAUCUAAACAGAAAGCCACGGCUAACUACGUG
rnacentral:rRNA from 1 species